ACCAGUAAACACGAAGAAAGAGAGUAAGAAAACAUGCCAACAGAAAACAUGCUUAGUUAGAUCAGUCAGUCAACUUCAGAUAAAUCCAGUAGCUUGGUACUGUCAUGAAUAAAUGUACCAAACCAGCAUGUCGCUACACCUGGAGUGAGUAACAUUUGAAAUGGGACAGACGACAAUGGGGCCGAUGCGGUGCAGUUAAAAAGAGUUUGGACUUCCUAAUGUGCACUUCUCAGGAGUCGACCGUACUCUAUGUCAUAGUGUACAUGUUGAGAGCACCAGCGGGGUUUACAGGUUGUACUCUCGUAGAAUGUAAUCUGAAGGGGAUCCACGUCUUCUCAGGCCAGUCUGUUCUCCUGCCCUGCUCCUGUGCUGACCUCCAAGCUAAACCUCAAAGCCUCACAUGGAACUUCCAAAAACAAAACAGAGGAUCAUGGGGUGUAAAGGCGUACAAUCAAGGAUAGAGAAGACAGGAACACAUACUGUACAUCAGACUCUUUGUAAAAGAAUCACAUGGACUAAAUUCAGAGAUGGACAGAGACCUGAAACUAUAUCAACCCAGAGUGAUCUCUACAAAGGCAGAGUAAAGAUGUUUACUGAGAACUCUCCUGGGAACCACUCUCUCCUCCUUUCAGUACUGUAGAAAUCAAAGAAAUACAACUCUAUGAUAAAGGUAAGAGCUCCCACUCCCGAAAAAUGAGCCCCAAGAUUUAAUCUUCAGCUACAUAGUAUUGACACGGACCGAAUGAUCCACUUUUCUGUUAGUCCGAGCAAACCAAAACACCCACCACCACCACCACCACCAAUAACUCAACCCACAACUAGAACAUCCCAACCAACAACUUCCUCUAAAAGUCAGUGUAAAUCAUUAAAGUGUCUUAUAUUGCUAACGACUGUUGCUGGUUAAACCCAUACUUGUGUGACGAUGUGUGAACAAAAAGCUAGAUCGAUAUGCAAGUGAUCACAGACUCUCUUUUUAGCGUGGACUGGAAGAGUCACCAAGUCCUGUAGGGACAGACACUUGGGGGACUUCAGAGAAAGCUCAAUCUACGAUCAUUUACAUUGUACUGGCUGAUCUACCAGUCAUUCCCAUCAUGGCUGGAGUUGCUCUGUACAGAUACAGGAUAAAUAAUGGUUACUUGUCCACAAUUGCAACCACAUAGAUAAGCAAUAAGUUGAGUUGGGGAAAGUGACAGGACUUAUUGUGUGUAUUAAACUCACUGUUAUUUUAUCCCGAGGAAAGAAAAACAGAGGAGAAAAGUAGCUGGAGCAAAACAGGGGGAAAGAAUAACGAUAAGGAUGAUCCUUCUGCAAUGUAUUCCACGGUUGCAGACAGAAACACUGGUUUAGGUGACAAGACAACCACACCACUCAUUCCACCAGAUGAUGAUCCCUAUGCAAUGUUUCUGUGUGAACCGCAGCAUACAUCAACCAAGAGGAGACAACAACACUCUACAGUGCACCAGUAAGAGAUGAUCCCUCAGUGAUAUACUGCACCAUCAUCCACAUGACAGGAAAAGGGAAAGCAGCUGUGAGUCUGGAGAGCAGUGGAGAAAUAGAGUAUGCCAGUAUCAAGACAGGCAGAUCCUCCUAGAGCCACUAUACAAGGCUCACAGCCUUAUAAUACAGAGAGAUCUAACAGUAUUGUGCCCAGUAUCAUGAGGCUUUAUCUGGCGCACUUAACUAUAAAUAUGUUUUACUCUUCACAUUCAAAUCUUGAUCUUACAACGCAUUUAAAAUACCAUAUGAUAGAAUUCAAAUUUGAUACAAAUUACAUGUAUUUUGUCUUUCACUUUUCUUCUAUAAUACCAUAAAUUAAAUGCAUUCUGUAAAUAUGUAUGAUAUAUUACGUUUCUAAAUGAAAUUAAUAUCAUUAUUUUUAUUAACAGUGUAAAGAAUAGGACAAUCUAUGGCAAUAAGGCAAUAAAGUUUGAACAA